CCGCCAUUCCCUCCUCUUGUCAGACGUAUUUUAGAAAUUUUGAUUUAAAUUUAGAAAAUAAAAUCAAAUUUUUUUCAGUAAUUCAAAAUUUUAUAAAAAUUUAUGAAGAUAUUUUAAAAAUAUGAUUUCACAUUAUUGAUAAUUUAAUUGUCAUAUCAAAUAUAUCAAUUAAAAUUUUCAAUAAUUUUACUACAACAUUAUCUGCGUGC
rnacentral:lncRNA from 1 species